UAGGAGCAACCUUUCGAGAGAUCUUUCUAC
rnacentral:piRNA from 1 species